rnacentral:rRNA from 1 species
ACUCAAAUGAAUAGACGGGGACCCGCACAAGCGGUGGAACAUGUGGUUUAAUUCGAGGCAACGCGAAGAACCUUACCAAGACUUGACUUGCUCUCUAUCGGGCCCCCAAAAGGGCCCUUCACUUCGGGUGGGAGAUGCACAGGUGCUGCAUGGCUGUCGUCAGCUCGUGUCGUGAGAUGUUGGGUUAAGUCCCGCAACGAGCGCAACCCUCAUCCUCUGUUGCUAACAGGUAAUGCUGAGAACUCUGAGGAAACUGCCGGUGAUAAGCCGGAGGAAGGUGGGGAUGACGUCAAGUCCUCAUGGCCCUUACGUCUUGGGCUACACACGUGUUACAAUGGUGGUGACAAUGAGCAGCUAACCCGCAAGGGCAUGCGAAUCUCAAAAAGCCACCUCAGUUUGGAUUGUACUCUGCAACUCGAGUACAUGAAAUUGGAAUCGCUAGUAAUCGUAGAUCAGCACGCUACGGUGAAUACGUUCCCGGGUCUUGUACACACCGCCCGU